ensembl:lncRNA
AAAGAGGUGUUUCCCCUCCCCGCAGGAGCAGCUGUUCCUCGCGUCGCCUGCCGGUGAAAAGCAGCUCCCUGCCGGCUGCAGGAGCAGCAGCAGCCGGCAGGGAGCUUCCCGCGUGUCCCGCUCGGCUCGGCUCGGCUCGGCAACCAAGCACGACCGGGGAAUUACUUACACCCCGAGAAGGUGUUUAGCAACUACAUGGAACGUAUUCGCAGCGUGUAAAAUAAUUAGACACGAAUGUCGUUCGCCCCGCGUAGCGGCUCCUCGCGAGGGACCCGCCAUGUUCACCCGCACGGCGAGCAGCGUGGCUCGUUUGAACUUUAACACAAUUGGAAGCAGCGCGUGAGAACCAUUAUUAUUUUUUAGUGUGUUUACGUUCUGGUAGGUUUAUGACCCGAAACAAGCCGAUGCAGAAUAACAACUCUCACACAACAUUCUAAAAACUAACAAAGUUAAUCACCGCCCAACACUAGUUUCUGGUUUGUUCUCCUUAAGAUGAGCCAAUUUCUUCUUCUUUUUAAAUUUUUUUUACAAGGAUUUGUUGUUGUUGGAUGGUUUAUUCACAAUCCAGCCCGCUGAGGGCUCGUUUUAGCCCGUCCUCAUUUUAAAGCCUCAAUCAAAGGCAGAGGUCUGGAUCAAAGUGAGUUAAUGAAGUUUGCAGGAGGUGUUGAGGAGAGGAGCGCUGGUAAAUCCUGGCCAGGGAGAGACGGCUGUGCAAGGCUUCAUAUCACAUCACAGAUCCAGCAAUAACAUUCAUGAAUAUUCCUCCUUUUCACCAUUCCUUGUCGAUCCCUCACAAGGUCACGGUUGGCCAUCUGUGCUGCGUCCAGGCUUUGAAGCCCGCCAGCGAAAUUGUUACAGCAGCAAAUAGAAUUGUUUUUCUUUCAACACAGAAAUGCAGAUUUUUAAUGUCAAGGCCAGUUUGAUAUAUUUGCAGCAGACAAGUCUAAAGGACAGCGGAGCAUAAAAGGAUUGUUGAGAUUACGAGUUUGACGUUGGAAUCUUUAAAAUGUUUUAUGGUGCUUCAAAAUAGCGCUCUGUAGACUCCUCGUCUUUUUCUGGCAUGCUGUGAGAGAUGUGAAAGAAGUCUGUAUUUCUGAAGGCUAUUGAGUUCUAAAAAACCUUACAAAAAUUAAAUAAAUGGC